rnacentral:lncRNA from 1 species
GGGGAGGCGGAGCCCGGAGCCGCCGUGCCUGGCGACAUGGGCGGCGAGGUAAGAGGCUAGAACCCUAGAAUUUUGGCACUACCUAUAUCUGAAUCUGCCACUCGCUCUUCUUCUGAAAAAAAAUCUGCUAUUACCUGUUUCCUCUGCAGUUCCGUUUGUGGAUUGCCCUCCUGCUGGCUGGAUGUUAGGGGCAAUGGAUCCUGAUCAUCUACUGUCCUCUUUUUUACCAUCUAGGUAGACCGGGCAUGAGGUUUGGUUGUUUAGGUUCAGGCAUCGACUGAACUUGGUGAAUCCAAACUACUUGAUGAGAAGACAAGUACUACUACUCGUAGGUCUGCAUACUUUCAUCUGAACUUUUAGGUGGCCUGUCACCUGUCAGGUGGUGAACUCAAUCAAUUAUACCCAUGAGCAAUGGUCUGCAUGAUAAUAUUUCAUAUUUGGUGUAGGCACCAAUAUGUAUAUGUACAGACAAAGGCCAGCAGUUUAAAGCAUCCCCUCUGGUAUCCAGUGUUUGCUUGAAGCAUCCACUUGACUUCAGGGAAGGAAAUGAGAUGGAAAGGGGAAAAUGAUAACAGGGAAUAUGGUCGUG